UACGUAGGGUCCAAGCGUUAUCCGGAAUCACUGGGCGUAAAGCGCACGUAGGCGGCUUUUUAGGUCAGGGGUGAAAUCCUGGAGCUCAACUCCAGAACUGCCUUUGAUACUGAGAAGCUUGAGUCCGGGAGAGGUGAGUGGAACUGCGAGUGUAGAGGUGAAAUUCGUAGAUAUUCGCAAGAACACCAGUGGCGAAGGCGGCUCACUGGCCCGGUACUGACGCUGAGGUGCGAAAGCGUGGGGAGCAAACAGG
rnacentral:rRNA from 1 species